AAGAUUCUUAUUUCCAGUGACUAACCAUCUGAUCCUUGGACAGAGGCUGGGAGUCAGAAACCUUUAUUUUUUUUGUGUACUACUGGAAAAAUUAUAAAGUGAAUCUAGGUAUCUGCUAGAUGUAGUCUUUACAAGUCAAAGUAGAGGCAAGUUAGCAAGAUAGCGCAGGGGACAUUUUCAGUGCAGCUGUAGCUGCUCUGUGGAAAAACAGAGCUUUCAAACCAACCACAAAUUCAUUUAAUUAAACAAAAACAAACAAACAAAAAAGCACAAGAGACUAGAAGUUGGUGUCUCAAAAGGCUGAGUGGCAAUUAUGAGAGUGCUGUGGUCUCAACAUGAAGAUCUGCAUUAAAAAAACAGAUGGCUUGGCCUUCAAUGGGAGCUGCAGGUGCACAGUACCUCCAAGAAUAAGGCCCAUAGGCCCUCCAAUAACAAGAUGAUGGAUGCCGUAUAAGAACCUGAAAGCCUCUCCGCUGCCUCGUUCUGGUUCAGAAUGAAAGAGGAAGUGACGCGCACAAGCUUUUUACCAUGAGAUUUCCAAUGCAGUUUCAGGGAUAGUCCAGAUAACCUUCAGAGCAGCAUUGUUUGCCAAUCCAAUCCCUCC